GUAGGUGGCAAGCGUUGUCCGGAAUUAUUGGGCGUAAAGCGCGCGCAGGCGGUUCUUUAAGUCUGAUGUGAAAGCCCACGGGCUCAACCGUGGAGGGUCAUUGGAAACUGGAGAACUUGAGUACAGAAGAGGAAAGCGGAAUUCCGCGUGUAGCGGUGAAAUGCGUAGAGAUGUGGAGGAACACCAGUGGCGAAGGCGGCUUUCUGGUCUGUAACUGACGCUGAGGCGCGAAAGCGUGGGGAGCAAACAGGAUUAGAUACCCUGGUAGUCCACGCCGUAAACGAUGAGUGCUAAGUGUUAGGGGGUUUCCGCCCCUUAGUGCUGCAGCUAACGCAUUAAGCACUCCGCCUGGGGAGUACGGCCGCAAAGGCUG
rnacentral:rRNA from 1 species